AUCGAAGAGAGCAACGGUGAAGAGUGCCAGCCAUGUUGGUCGAUGAAGUGGUAGUGGCGGGGACGGCAGUCGCGGGAUUGAUAUUCGUUUUCACCGGUGGGAUCGGUUAUUUCAUCUGGAAGGACGCACGGAAAUACAAAUAACGAAGUCCUUCGGAUUCCAGAGCACGCAAGGCACUUUCGGGCGACGUUAGUCGCCCUUUUUUUUU
rnacentral:sRNA from 17 species